rnacentral:rRNA from 1 species
UGGGGAAUAUUGGACAAUGGGCGCAAGCCUGAUCCAGCGACGCCGCGUGAGUGAUGAAGGCCUUCGGGUUGUAAAGCUCUGUUGAGGGAGAAGAAAACGGGUGGCGCGAAUAGCUCCAUCCCUUGACGGUAUCCCUUUAGAAAGCACCGGCUAACUCUGUGCCAGCAGCCGCGGUAAGACAGAGGGUGCAAACGUUGCUCGGAAUUACUGGGCGUAAAGCGCGUGUAGGCGGACCAACGAGUCAGGCGUGAAAUCCCUGGGCUCAACCCAGGAACUGCACCUGAAACUGUUGGUCUGGAGUGGUGGAGAGGGAAGCAGAAUUCCUGGUGUAGAGGUGAAAUUCGUAGAUAUCAGGAGGAACACCGGUGGCGAAGGCGGCUUCCUGGACACUAACUGACGCUGAGACGCGAAAGCGUGGGGAGCAAA